AAUCACUAAUUAAAAAAGAAGAAGAAGAAGUUAUGUUAGUUCAAACUCCUGCGUAGGAUUUAUUGGAGAAGAUAGUAGUUUAGGAUGACAUAUAUAUUCUAUUUCCCAAGUGAGGAUGAAAAUAAAAUUAGGGAUAAGGAAAACUUUGUGGUUAAUAUAGAACAACUCUUUCUCUGGUGGAGCUCCUUUUCAUUUUUGAAACCUGAGUGAGGAUUUCUGUAAUUAUAAAAAUCCUCAGGGAAGCUCGUUGGAAUUUACCCAAAGUAGAAUUUUAAUUAAAAGACUUCAUGGUUCCACCUGUUCAGUCAAUUAUCCAUCUGCACUCACCCAAUCUCUACCACUCAAUACUGAGCUUGCUAUUUCUUGUGGUCUGGCUGGAUCUUUAUCUUCUCCACUCCUACAAUUUAUUCAGUGGGAUAUUAACAGUGAUUAGUAUUGGCUUAAUUUCAUAUCCCACCAAUAUGCCUAAAGAUUGGUUGAUAUCGAUUAAUCAACCAUGGAGUUCUCGAAAGCAUUAAAGUAGGACUUCAAAGUUGAAAAACGAGUAUGCCUAAUUUAUUCAGAUAUAUAAUAGAGAGCUUUCUCUUCUAAAAUUUGAGUUGCAUCAACUAAUCAAAUAGACAUUGAGGCAUUGAGAAUAUCAGAAUACAUCCACCAGUUCUAGUGCCUCUUCAACUUGCUACAAGGAUCCCACCAAUAUGCUUAAAGAUUGGUUAAU